ACGAAUAAAUGACGGUACCAUAUGAAUAAGUACCUGCUAACUACGUGCCAGAAGCAUCGGUGAUGCGUAGGGUACAAACGUUAUCCGGAUUAAUUGGGCGUAUAGAGAUGCGUAGGCGUCUUGGUAAGUCUUGUGUUAAAGACCACAGCCUAACUGUGGAAGGGCACCGGAAAUUACCAGGAUAGAGAUGGGGAGGGGUGAAUGGAAUUCUCGGUGGAGUGGUGAAAUACGUUGAUAUCGAGAGGAACACCAGUGGCGAAGGCGAUUCACUGGCCCUUAUCUGACGCUAAGGCUCGAAAGCGUGGGGAGCAAAACGGAUUAGAUACCCGUGUAGUCCACGCUGUAAACAAUGGAUGCUAGGUGUUUGGCACGAUUAUCAUUUGUCUUCGGACUUUUGAUGAAAGUGUUGAGUGUCGUAGCUAACGCGUUAAGCAUCCCGCCUGGGGACUACGGCCGCAAGGCUA
rnacentral:rRNA from 1 species